CCAGACAGCAUUUUCUAUCUCCCAGCUGGAGUUUUUGUUUGUCUGUGACUGGAGAGUCAGAUUUUUGUUGAGCUUCACACUUGCAGACCUAAGUCAGUUUGCAGAGAUCCCUCCCACUCUGGCUUUUAUGUCCUAGAUUUCUUAUCUGAAACAGUAAUAUUUCAGUGACUGCUGCUUGUACCACAGGUUAAUACACGCUACUGAUCCCUGAUAGGAGAAUCAUCAAUUUUGGCAACAAAGAAGCCUGGUGGAUGUUUGUUUACAGUCUGAUGAUGGGACAUCAUGCUCUGCAUCGUCAAAGUUUGCCUCCUCAUUAUUAUUCAUACCCAGUAAUGUGAAGUAUGCUUAUAUCUACUAUAACUGAACCAACCUGGUGCUCUUCAUUUAUGGAGGCUGUUGAGUCUGAAUGUUGGAUGUUGUGUAUCUCGUGUUCUCUGGGCUUUGUUGUCCUCAGUCUUUUCGCAGGAUCAGAAAACAAAACCAGGAGGCGCGUAAAUGUUUCUUCAAAUGUUUCUUCUGGAUGAUGAUAAGACUGUGACACGGGAUGCCACCUUUGGUCUUGUGAUGAAGCAAAGCUCAGGAAGAAGUGGGAUUAAAUGGUACCCACAUGUGUGCUGCUGAGAAGGAUGUACAGGGGCACCUGCAGCCAAAUCCAAGCCUCAGCAGUUUGUGCUCACAGAUGGUGACGGUGUGGAGAGACGGUGGUGUUUCCUCAGAAGAACCAGCAGAGUCACUUGCUGACUGAUGCUCAUCUGCACUGCACAGAGGAAAUCAACUGACCGAGGAGUGUUUCUGAGUGAGGGGGAGAAGAGUCAUCAUCCAGGUAAAGUGACGUAGAUCAGUGGAUACACUUGUCUCCCCUUUAAAGGAGACAAUCCAAGUCAUCCUUAAAUAUGGGCAGCAUAUCAGUCUUGGACUGUCUAACCUGCCGGAGCAGCACUGAAUGACCACCACACAUGAGCAUGUUCCUGCAACAUUCAGCAUCUGAUCCUUCAUCUGUGUGCUUCUGCUUUUGGUAAGUAGAGUUACCCAACUCCAGUAACUCUACACACAUGCCAUCCAUUUCUGACGGCCUGGUUACUUCCUGUCAGUUACUUUAGAAACCAUGUGGUCACCUGACCUAACACUAUUCAAGUGUCACAUGUCAAACAGCUGGAGAGGAAACUACACCAGUGUACUGGGAUGUUUCACCAACACGUGCCAGAUGCUGUUCCUUCAUGGUGACAUCACAGAGACAGCCCCACCCACCUCAGGACCUCGCCAUUUAUCAUGAUGAUUAUAAUGAUGACAGCGAGCGGAACUAAGACUGUAAAAAUCCACGACCAGAAUUUUUCUUUCUAAUUAUUAAUGAAUACUGAGAGCCUCUUUCUGUGUUUUGUAUGUUUUGGGGUUGUUUUUUUUUUACCUCAUUUGUUACUAACAAAGUUCACCAAACUCACACAGUUUACAUUCUGUAUGUUUCCAUCUUUACCAGCCACACUCUAAUUGCAUUUAAGAAAAUAAUCCUUAGAAAUCGUCAUUUUUCUCUUUUGUAAUUGAUGAUAAUUCAGUGAAUAUAAGAUAAGAUAAGAUAACUCUUUAUUGUCAUUGCACAGUCAUACAUAGUACAGUAGUACAAUGAAAUUGGAAAAACUGUCCUACGUCGGCACUACAUAUAACACAACACGAUAUGACACAUCACAACGUAACAAACAACACAACACAGUAACACACUGCUUCCUUCUAUUGCGUCACACAUUGCUUUAAGUUUUUCAGUGUCCAGUUAUUUUUUACUGCUGUUUAAAUUCUCUGAAUGUUUGAC
ensembl:lncRNA